CCUACGGGUGGCAGCAGUGGGGGAUAUUGGACAAUGGGGGGAACCCUGAUCCAGCGACGCCGCGUGAGUGAAGAAGUAUCUCGGUAUGUAAAGCUCUAUCAGCAGGGAAGAAGAAAUGACGGUACCUGAGUAAGAAGCCCCGGCUAACUACGUGCCAGCAGCCGCGGUAAUACGUAGGGGGCAAGCGUUAUCCGGAAUUACUGGGUGUAAAGGGAGCGUAGACGGUGAUGUAAGUCUGGAGUGAAAGGCGGGGGCCCAACCCCCGGACUGCUCUGGAAACUAUGUGACUGGAGUGCAGGAGAGGUGAGCGGAAUUCCUAGUGUAGCGGUGAAAUGCUUAGAGAUCAUACAGAACACCGAUUGCGAAGGCAGCUUACCAAGCUACUUCUGACGUUGAGGCACGAAAGCGUGGGGAGCAAACAGGAUUAGAUACCCGUGUAGUC
rnacentral:rRNA from 1 species